rfam:Bdellovibrionales bacterium GWA2_49_15 gwa2_scaffold_31, whole genome shotgun sequence.
UCACAGGUGAAAGUCCUGAUGGAAAAUGGGUCUUAUGGUUUCCAAAGCUUCCGCCAUGAAUUAAAGGGGCAACUUUUUAAUUUGAUGCUGGUGUUAAAAGAGGAAUUGAAUACUCCUCGAAGCUAACCGAUAGGUUGUAGCGCAA